rnacentral:rRNA from 1 species
AUGUUCUGGAAGGAUAGAUGGAUUCAUGGGGUCACGGUCGGCGAGAUCGCUUCGAUGAUCUUAGAGAUGAUUAGCACCAGGGCGCGCAACGUCAGGACUGUUCGACAGGCUUUGGUGGAUAAUGCGUGGUCGCGAGAUGUGCAAGGUGACAUCUCUUUUUUGGCGCAUAUGCAGGUGGCACACUUGUGCCUUGCCAUCGCGACGGUGCCGCGGGAUGAUCAUCUUCAUGAUCAGUUUAGCUGGCCUGCUGACAGGUCCGGAGUCUACACGGCAAAGCCGACUUACCAGAGACCGUGCAUGGGUUUUGUGCGUUCGCCGUCAGCACUGGCCAUCUGGCGGAGUUGGGCACCGCUGUGUUGCAAGAUCUUGGCUUGGCUCACAAUUCAGUAUCGACCAUGGACAUCUUGUUGGGGAACAUUGCAUGGGAAACCAAAAAUUUUCUACGCUCACUAA